rnacentral:tRNA from 2 species
GUCGAGUUGCCAGAGUGGUUAAUGGGUGUGACUCGAAUGGCUGAUAUCACAUGGCUUCGGCCGCGCAGGUUCAAAUCCUGCAUUCGACG